CCGAGUUUACAACUCCCAAACCCCAAUGUGAACGUUACCAAACUGUUGCCUCGGCGGGAUUUCUGCCCCGGGCGCGUCGCAGCCCCGGACCAAGGCGCCCGCCGGAGGACCAAACCUUACAAACUCUUUUUGUAUGUCCCUCUGCGGACUCUUUACAUUUCUGAGCUUUUUCGGCGCUCCUAGCGAGCGUUUCGAAAAUGAAUCA
rnacentral:misc_RNA from 1 species